rnacentral:ncRNA from 1 species
GUAGAGUUUGAUUCUUGCUCUAGAUUAUUGCUUGGUGAUGAUUAAUAUAUACGUGUAUUUGAUUUAAUAUUUUUCUUGUAAUUUAUUGAUUUGUGCAGAUGCGAUAUUUCGUGACACAGUUAAUUGCCUUUGAACUAACUAAUUUUGUGCCAGCAGUUGCGGUUAUACAAUUGGUUCGAGUGAUGAUUUUUGGGUUGGUAUUAUGCAUUUUAUGUUGAAUUGAAUGGUAUUUUAUUGGGUGGAAUCAUUAAUUUAUUUUUAUUUUUGGGAUUUGCUAUUAUAUGAAAUCUAUGAAUUAAACUAGGAUUAGAUACCCUAUUAUUGUAGUUGUUAUUUUUGCCCUUAAAAUUAUUAGUUGCUCUUUAAAUUAAAAGAAUUUGGCGGUAAUUUAAUCCUAUCAGAGGAACCUGUUUAGUAAUUGAUAUGCCACGAGGUAUUUUACUUUCAUUUUGCUUGUAUACCUCUAUUUAUUGAAUAUCUUAUUAGGGUAAUUUUCUUGAUUUAGUUUUGUAAAUUAUUUUAGGUCAAGGUGCAGCAGUGUGAGAGGUUUAAUGGGUUACAAUUUUGAUAUAAUCGGAUUGAUUUGUGGAAGGGAUUCAUGAAGGAGGAUUUGGAAGUAAUGGUCAUUAUCUUGUGGCCGUGACUUAGGCUCUAAUUUAUGCACAUAUCGCCCGUCGCUCUCGCUUUUAAGGCGAGAUAAGUCGUAACAAAGUAGACUUACCGGAAGGUGAGUCUGGUCGUUU